UAGAGCAGGGGAUCAGGAGUGUAAGGUUAGGUGCAUGGCCAGAAUAUUAUAUUAAAGAAGGUGGUCAGGAUAUUUGGGUCUCUUGGAGCAGGAGAAAUUAAGCGAGGAUUUGAAAGAGUUUUAUACUUUCAGAUUCAUGAAGACACUGAAAAGUGAUGAAUCCACAUAACCAUGACACUGGAAAUGAAGUUUGAGUGGCAGUCGGAAUCUAGGAGGAAGCAUUGCUAAGUAAAAAUUUUAUGGAGCUUGACUAAAAAUCCCUGUCAGGGACCAUCAAAAGUUCAGUCCGUGACAUGAAAAAUCUUGCUGGAAGUUGAGAGAAGUUUCUGCCUACUCCAUGAUCCAGGAACACAAGACCUUUACCAACCAGAAAAGUGGAUAGCUGUUCUUCUGCUGGGAAGGUUAAAAAAGGUUGACCACUGCUAUUGCCAUAACUCUGGUCCUGCUGUCUACGCAUACUACUGUUGUGACUUCCAGAAGGUACAGAGGGCUCGAAUGUCCUAUUCCAGGCUUCCUUGAAAGAGGAACUUGCUACAUUUCCCGUCCCAUCUAGUGAAGUUCUUUGUCUACAGCAGGCCUCUGGUGAGAAUUCAGUUAUUUCUCCCGAUGGACUCUCGUCUUUUUUCUUUCACUUCAUGGGCAACAGUGACCAAUUAAAAAGCCUUAGUAAUUUUACUUUUUAGGGGGUGACAUCACACAAAGAGUUAAUAGAUUUAAAGACAAGGCAAAUACCAUUUCUUUUAAAACCUGAAAAAACAUUAAAAAAAAAAAAAACUUAAAUGAAAACUACUGAAAGAUCAUUAUCCCAGCCAUAAUCAAG
rnacentral:lncRNA from 13 species